UACGUAGGGUGCGAGCGUUACUCGGAAUUACUGGGCGUAAAGGGUGCGCAGGCGGCGUCGCAAGUCAUACGUGAAAUCCCUCGGCUUAACCGGGGAACUGCGCCUGAUACUGGAUGGCUUGAGUUCGGGAGAGGGAUGCGGAAUUCCAGGUGUAGCGGUGAAAUGCGUAGAUAUCUGGAGGAACACCGGUGGCGAAGGCGGCAUCCUGGACCGAUACUGACGCUGAGGAGCGAAAGCCAGGGGAGCAAACGGG
rnacentral:rRNA from 1 species